GCAGUAGCCACGGUAAUACAGAGGGUGCGAGCGUUAAUCGGAUUUACUGGGCGUAAAGCGUGCGUAGGCGGCUUCUUAAGUCGGAUGUGAAAUCCCUGAGCUUAACUUAGGAAUUGCAUUCGAUACUGGGAAGCUAGAGUAUGGGAGAGGAUGGUAGAAUUCCAGGUGUAGCGGUGAAAUGCGUAGAGAUCUGGAGGAAUACCGAUGGCGAAGGCAGCCAUCUGGCCUAAUACUGACGCUGAGGUACGAAAGCAUGGGGAGCAAACAGGAUUAGAUACCCCCGUAGUCCCUGUCUCUUAUAC
rnacentral:rRNA from 1 species